rnacentral:rRNA from 1 species
CAUCUCCUCGUGCCCCCUCCCCCACCACCGCACCACCUCCGUUCCCCCACCAACGAACCACCUCCACCACCUCACCACCUCCCUCCCCUCGCCAGCGAGCCACCCCGCCCCACCCUACCGGGGCCUUCCUCCCAUCGCCGACGAGCCACCCAGGCCCCGACGACUUUCCCGCACGAGCCGGCGCCGGAUCCAGGCCUCGGCGGGCCCCCACGACAUCCAGGCGCCGGAUCCAGGCCACGACGGGCCCCUGCGACGCCCCGCUGCAGGAGCCAGGCCGCGACGGCACCCCGAGCCGCCGCCCCACCUCCGCAACCCACCCUUCCCUUCCCGGCCUCCUUCUACCUCCCCCAUCAUGCCGGCCCGCCCAGACCCGCCGCCAUCCUCGAGCAGUGCGCCGCGAGCCCUGGAGCAGUGCACCGCGAGCCCUCUAGCAGCUCAUCCAUGGGCGCCGACAAUUUUUUUGGCUUCUGCAGUUCGAUACCCCCUGCGUGCAGCUCGGGCGCGAGCAUGAUGUGGUUCGGUGCAGUCCAUUUGGUCCGACGCCACCAGCCGCGGCCACCAGCCUCCCCAUCUUGCAACUCUCUUUCUCUGCUCUGUGGCAGUCCCCUGUCGAGCAGCAGCUAGAAAACAGUGUCGCCAUGUUGUUCGGUACCAAACGCCACGCAGUUGGUUCCUGCAUCAGCUUGUAGUGAUUUGUGAAGAUUGCACCGCCCGUGAUGGUUCCUGCAUCAGCUUGCAGUGCACAUUGCGUAGCUUAUUCGGCGGGGCGUGUGGUUCGUCUGAGCUCGGCGUGCAGUGCGUAACACAAGUCGUCAUUCAGUGCUAGAUCCGCCUCCCCCUGUUUGCAGCUCCUUUCAAUAUUUUUUGCAGCUCACUGAGUAUUCUUUUGCAGUUUGUUAUGAAAAUCCAAUGGCGCUGGCCGCGCCACGCCUUUUCCUGUUGCUUCAUCUGAGGAGAGGACGGCCUCCUCUCCCUGCCAUGUCAAGAUCCGACCUCCACUACCUGCGCCCGGAGUGCAAGCUCCCUUCGGCGAGGAGCGAGGUCCACAACAAGUCCAUCCCGGCGGGUUGACGGGGUCGGUCAGUAUCGGAUUCCUGGCAACCGUGCAGUUUGGUGUAUUUUUAUGCCUCAACCGUGCAACUGACUGGGUGCUCCCAGUGAGGUUCUGUGGUUUUGGGUGUUCAGUGUGCUCCUAAUCACCCAUGUAGUUCAUUUUUACUGUACAUUUUGCAUUGUUUUGCUUGUGUGGUGCAAUUAUCUUCUGGGUCUAGUACAGUGCGAUGCUGGGAAGAUGUGGGCGACGAGGCAUGCAGUUCCCUAGCGUGAACAUGUUCGAGGAUGUGGAUUUUGUUUUUGCAGUUUGUUGUUCCUAUUUGAGUAGUCCAAAAAGCGUGUUUUAUGUGAUGUGGGAUGUACGGUUGUAUGCAAUUGUAAUUGUGAACUCGCCC